rnacentral:snRNA from 8 species
AUACUUACCUGGCAAGGGAGACACCGUGAUCAAGAAGGCGGUUCACCCAGGGCGAGGCUCAGCCAUUGCACUCCGGCUGUGCUGACCCCUGCGAAUUUCCCAAAUGUGGAAAUCUCGAUUGCAUAAUUUCUGGUAGUGGGGACUGCGUUCGCGCUCUCCCCC